AUAAUUUCUUUACAAUAUUGUGGUUGUCUCUGCACUAUAUCAUCACCAAUCAGUUAUAAUUUUAUAUAUAUAUAUAUAUCCCUUCCCUCUUGAGGCUCCCCCAAAUUCACACCAUCCACCCCUCUAGGUCAUCACAGAGUACCAGGCUGGGCUCCCUGUGUACUCCCUUAAUACAGUAGCUUCCUGCUAGCUAUUUAUUUUACACAUGAUAUAGUGUAUAUAUGUCAAUGCUACUUUCUCAAUUUGCCCUAGCCUCUCCUUCCCCCACUGCAUCCACAAGUCCAUUCUUUAUGUCUGCAUCUCCAUUUCUUCUCUUAAAUAGGCUCAUCAGUACUAUUUUUCUGGAUUCUCUAUGAUUAAUAUGUUAAUAGCCAUAGUAGAUAAAACUAGACUGGUGUGUAUGGUAAGUGUGUGAGAUCCCAAUUGGUUCUAAUCCUUGGCGUAUUCCCACUCUGCCAAAGAUGAGGCGCCCUUGGAAUCCCCUGCAAGAGACCUGACAGGAGCCAGGAAGAGGAGCCAGGACUGCCCCUACAUGGUGCCUGACCCCUCGCUGUGGGGUGAGAAACAGGAUUGUCUGAGCAGGUGCGGGUCCUGUCAGGGAAAGGUCCUCUUUCCUGGGCAACUGUGGGGACAGUGAAAUGGUAAAGUGUGCCACCACAGCGACUGAGAGAACAGCAGUGUGGCAGAAAGAAUGACGACACUGGCGCAGACAAGUGGUUUGUCUCCUCAGCCAGAGGUCUAUCAGGGGCUGCCUUCCCUUAGAAGAGGGGCAGGGGCUCGGCCUCCACGGGCGCCCCUUCCCACUUUCCUCCAGCCCACGGCCCCUGAAGGUGAAAGCAGCCCCCCAGCCACCCGCGCCCAAGAAGGAUGGCCAGCGUGAUGGGGGAAGGGAGGGGGUGGACACCAAACACUCUGCAGGUUCACACACAAACACACACACUGCGGGGCGGCCUGUAUCCAUCCGCUGCUCCCUGCAGUGCGACCCCUCGCGACCCUCCCAGCCCCGGCCCGCGAGCCCCCUAAGCUGCAGGGCCAGAAGCGUAGGGGUGGUCACCGCAAGGAGGUCGGCGCAGGGUGGCGGAAGGCUGGCGAGGCGGGAUGGCGUAGCUCCGCCCCUCAGGCUGGCAUUCCUCCCGGCCCCGCCCACUCUGGGUCGGAACUACGGUGGGCCAGCGAGGGGGCGUCGAGCCCAUUCGUGCCGUAUCUCUCCGCCCCCCUUGCUAAUACUCUCUGCGAGCAGUCGGUACCGCAACUUGUGCAGCCCCUGCGGGGUUUGGCGCGGGGAGAGGGAGCCCUCUUUGCCAUUCUGCCCACACGGCGAGCUGUGGGAACUAAGAGAGGAGCUGCGACCGGAGUGGGGAGGCCGACCACUGGAACCUUGCGCCUGCGAAGGUUUGUUCUUUUCAGAGUCCUGUAGAAAUCUGCAGGUAGCUGUUCUCUUUGAAUUUGAUUUGGAAAGAAGACGAAAGUUAUUCAUUUGAAUCCAAGGUGAGUGGGAGCAUGAGCACCCUCAUUGAUUGAGAGUGGGAAUUGGCUAUUGACAAGUAAGACUAGAUCAUAUCUUGAAGCCAUUGUAUUCCAACUUCGCA
rnacentral:lncRNA from 1 species